AGUCGUAACAAGGUUUCCGUAGGUGAACCUGCGGAAGGAUCAUUAACGUGCAUCAAAAGCAAAACAAAAAAAAAUCGACUGUGGACAUUUUGAAAAAAAAUGUUUUUUUUAUUUUCCUUCAAUUCACUUUGAAUGGAAAUUAAAAACCAACAUUAACCAAAAUCAAAACCAUAUUCUUACUAAAAAAACAAAAACUUUUUCUUGUCAAGUGUUUUUCUUCUCAAAUAUUAUUUUUGAGAAUCAUCACGAAAACAAAAAAAAGCUUUAAAAAAAAAACUGACGACUUUUAACGGUGGAUCUCUUGGCUCGU
rnacentral:misc_RNA from 1 species